AUGGGAGGAGAAUUCGACACCCGGGAGAUGGAGUGCGUGCUGAUCGUCGGGCUUUGGUGUGCUCAGCUCGAUCUGAAGCUGAGACCGUCUAUCAGUCAUGCUCUCAAUGUGCUGCGGUUUGAGGCGCCCCUGCCUCCCCUCCCCUCAAGGAUGCCGGCUGCAAGCUACAUGCCACCGGUCAGUGGUACAGAGAGCUGCAGAUCUGAGUAA
rnacentral:rRNA from 1 species